CAGUAGCCGCGGUAAUGCGUAGGUGGCAAGCGUUGUCCGGAAUUAUUGGGCGUAAAGGGCUCGCAGGCGGUUUCUUAAGUCUGAUGUGAAAGCCCCCGGCUCAACCGGGGGGGGUCAUUGGAAACUGGGAAACUUGAGUGCAGAAGAGGAGAGUGGAAUUCCACGUGUAGCGGUGAAAUGCGUAGAGAUGUGGAGGAACAUCAGUGGCGAAGGCGACUCUCUGGUCUGUAACUGACGCUGAGGAGCGAAAGCGUGGGGAGCGAACAGGAUUAGAUACCCCCGUAGUCCCUGUCUCUUAUAC
rnacentral:rRNA from 1 species